UCUCACAUGAUCUUGACCCAUGUUGGGUUUUCUGUCUUCCAUCUCCACCUUUAACAUUUAAUAUACCACAUCUCUCCAAAGGUCAUGCCUAUUCUAGUGUGCUGCACUCAGUGACGAAGUUGGAGCAAGUGUCAAAAGAGUGAAGGCCAAGCUCUGACUGUGACAGAGAGUUUGAGAUGGACAAAUGAUGCUUUGAAAAACACGUGACUUCUCGCUGGGACCUCCAUCUCCUGUAAAUAACCAACAACCUGUUCAAGGAUCAAUGUGCCUCUGACAUGAGGACAACAAGGCAUCACUAACAAAUCUAUAUAGUCCUACCUCCCAGAAGAUGAGUGAAGGUGUUACAGUUAGGAUGAUUGUUGACAUGAGGCUCUCAGAGGUUCACCACAAAUCGGAAGGACAAGAUUGAGAUUGCCAUUCAUAUGGUCUUUCCAUAGUCUCCCCUUGCAAUCAGAAUUGACCAUCACUAUGGACCUCAUCUAUUAGAUGCAGGAUGUCUAGCAAGCCUCUGGACAGGCAGCAUGGCAGAAAUCAACUCUUUCCAAAAAAAAAAAAAAAAAAAACAAAAAAAAAAAAGGCUGCUGAUGACACAGUGGAUAGAGCACACACAAGCUCCCUGUCGGACUCCCUCAGCUCCUGCAUGUCUCCUUGGCUAACAUUUCAGAGCUUCUGAUCCUUCAGACAUCAGCUUCUUGAUACUGAAGAGAUUGUUCUACCUGAUGAGCCCAGGCCUAGAAGAUGGACUACAUCCAAGAAGCCUGGCCCAUCUAAGGCCAAGUCACAUCUUUAAGAAAUAUUUGAAAGCAUGUGUGCACAGGAUAAAGGUGCAAGGACCAAAGUCUCCUCAGACUUUCCAGCAUUCAGAGGUUCUGACAGACUCAGGUCAAAGGUUACGUCUGAAGCCUAGAUCAUGAAGAAGGCCCCACUCCACAGGAGAAGCCUGUGGCUGAUGCUGUUGCAACCAGGACUAUGAUUGUGAAACUUGUGUCUGUGGAUAACAGAUUCACGAAUCUUGUGCCCAGGUAUCCACAGGCCUUUUUUCAUACAUUCCUUGGUAUAACUUUGCAAGUCCUGACUUUGGAAGUGUUGGGUCCUUAUGCUAUCUCACUUGAC
ensembl:lncRNA